AAAAAGGCAAAUCCUGGUUUCCGUGUCCAACUUUAACUGUCCGUCUUAUAUAAAAUUUUUUUAUAAUUCAUAUUUUUAUUAUUGUUAGAUGAUAAAACAUGAUUAAUAUUUUAUGCGUGACUUAUCUUUUUAAAUUUUUUCAUAAUUUUUUCAAAUAAGACGGACAGUCAAACAUUAGACACGGAAACCAGGUUUUGCCUUUUUU
rfam:Oryza barthii chromosome 3, whole genome shotgun sequence.